GGGCUUAAGUUAUACUAAACUAGUGGCCUUCAAAGCCCCCAAAAAAGAAACUCUUUAGCCCCUG
rnacentral:tRNA from 1 species